CAGCAUGCCUUGCAAGUGGAGGUGGAGCCAAGUAUGUAGGUACGUAGGUCAAAGGUCUUGGCAUAAGGUCGGGCAGCUGUUAGAGGUUUAGAUGAAGCCUAAGAGAGCUGUCUCCAGGCCAGGGGAGCCAGCUUGGGAGGCCCCAAGCCUGCUGCCUCUUAAAGCGGGUGACUCAGCCUCGCUCUGUCAGUGACACUGGUCACAUGACGGCUGCUGCAGUUCUACGUAUCAGAGCAUUCCAUGUCCACAUUCAAGGUGGGAAGAGUGAAUGAGCUGUACCAGAGAACACUCUGCAUAUCUGUCCUGUUGUAAGAAAGAAAGAUCCUUUCCGGAAGUUCCCAGCAGACUUCCUCUUCCAUCCAGCUGAUUGGAGCAGUGUCACAUGGACACUUGAAGCUGUAGGAGAGACUAAGAAUAAAUCUCUCCUGAAGCUUUCCCAUCUGUGCUUCUCCGGUUGCGUUGCCUUCUGCACCUUCUACACUGCUGCCUCUCUCCUGUACCGAUCUCCUAGGGCAUGUAUUCAGGGAUUUCUUCAUCAGUAAAGCAUACCCUGAAGUGGCUUCCGAAUUAUGAAGAUGAGAUGCAUCCGUUUGAACCUGCUCCUUGAAACUCACGAAGGUCUUGGAGGCUGAAUGAAGCCUAUUUCCUAUAAUCAAGAAAGGGGGACAUCGAAAGGCUUUUGUGCUCAACAGCCCCUCAGUAUCAACAUUGCUGUAGAAGAUUAGGGAAGACAUCCCGUCAUGGUGAGUGAAUGAAGGAAUGAUGUCAAGUGACAUUAUGGGUAGAAGCUAGAGGAUCAAUCACAGCCAGCUCUUAUUAAACCAAGAAGCACACUUCAUGUACACACAAUGGAGAGAGCAAAAGCAAUCAGAAGUAGAUGCAUCCUUAGAGCAUGGUCGAGAAGCUCUCCAAAAACAUUACAAAAUAAAUAAAGAAGAGUGAUAGCCUCUCUGCAGAGAACACCCAAGGCCAGGGUAGCUAAGAAAAAUGGUCGUCAGUGCCGUUCAUCCCCUUUGGUAAACCGGAAUCCAUGU
ensembl:lncRNA